rnacentral:rRNA from 1 species
UCGAGAAUCUUCCGCAAUGGGCGCAAGCCUGACGGAGCAAUGCCGCGUGAGGGAAGAAUGCCUUCGGGUUGUAAACCUCUGUCGCCCGGGACGAACUUUGACGGUACCGGGAGAGGAAGUCACGGCUAACUACGUGCCAGCAGCCGCGGUAACACGUAGGUGGCUAGCGUUAUUCGGAUUUACUGGGCGUAAAGGGUCCGCAGGGGGCCUGGCAAGUCUGCCGUGAAAGGCCGGGGCUCAACCCCGGCACUGCGGUGGAAACAGCCGGGCUGGAGUCAGAGAGGGGCAGACGGAACACCUGGUGUAGCGGUGGAAUGCGUGGAUAUCAGGUGGAACACCUAUGGCGAAGGCGGUCUGCUGGCACAUGACUGACCCUCAUGGACGAAAGCGUGGGUAGCAAACAGG